AUUGAACGCUGGCGGCAUGCCUUACACAUGCAAGUCGAACGGCAGCACGGGUGCUUGCACCUGGUGGCGAGUGGCGAACGGGUGAGUAAUACAUCGGAACAUGUCCUGUAGUGGGGGAUAGCCCGGCGAAAGCCGGAUUAAUACCGCAUACGAUCCACGGAUGAAAGCGGGGGACCUUCGGGCCUCGCGCUAUAGGGUUGGCCGAUGGCUGAUUAGCUAGUUGGUGGGGUAAAGGCCUACCAAGGCGACGAUCAGUAGCUGGUCUGAGAGGACGACCAGCCACACUGGGACUGAGACACGGCCCAGACUCCUACGGGAGGCAGCAGUGGGGAAUUUUGGACAAUGGGCGAAAGCCUGAUCCAGCAAUGCCGCGUGUGUGAAGAAGGCCUUCGGGUUGUAAAGCACUGUUGUCCGGAAAGAAAUCCUUGGCUCUAAUACAGUCGGGGGAUGACGGUACCGGAAGAAUAAGCACCGGCUAACUACGUG
rnacentral:rRNA from 1 species